rnacentral:tRNA from 1 species
AAGAAAUAUUAUAAAAAAAAGCUUCUAACUUUUUAUAAAGCAUUACAUGUUUAU